CCUUGUACACACCGCCCGUCACACCAUGGGAGUUGGCUGCAAAAGAAGUGGGUAGUUUAACCUUCGGGAGGACGCUCACCACUUUGUGGUCAAUGACUGGGGUG
rnacentral:rRNA from 1 species